UACGGAGGGUGCGAGCGUUGUCCGGAAUCAUUGGGCGUAAAGGGCGCGUAGGUGGCCCGGUCAGUCUUUGGUGAAAGCGCGGGGCUCAACCCUGCGUCGGCCAGGGAUACUGCCGCGGCUCGAGCACUGUAGAGGCAGGCGGAAUUCCGGGUGUAGCGGUGGAAUGCGUAGAGAUCCGGAAGAACCCCAGAGGCGAAGGCGGCAUCCUGGCCCAUUACCGACACUCAGACACGACAGCAUGGGGAGCGAACGGG
rnacentral:rRNA from 1 species